rfam:Schistosoma mansoni strain Puerto Rico chromosome 1, complete genome
ACCCAGCUGACCAGUCCCAAAUAUGGCGAAACGCGGGUCCUGGGU